rnacentral:rRNA from 1 species
AUGCUGAACCUGUACCCGAGGCUGGCGACGGGCGGCGCGCUGGCGGUGGACGACGACGAGCCGCACAUCUGCUACGCCAUCAUGGCGGCGCUCGUGUCGCUGCUGCUCUUCUGCGUGCUCCUCGCCGUCGUCAGCCCCGCCAGGGCCUGUGCCAUCACCAGCCUCAUCGUCCUCCUGUUCGGCCUCGUCGCCUUGCUCGCGCCCGCGCGCGGCACCGUCCCGGCGCACAGAAAUGGGAGCGGCCUCGGCCAGCGGCUGCCCGCGCCAACUGUACGGCUGGUGCGCCGGUGCACGUGCGGGCUGACGGACGCGGCGAUCGGCGCGCUGCCGACGUUCGCUUACGACAACAAGGGCGGCGACGAGCCGCGCGCGAGCUGCCAGCUGCUGUGCGCGGUGUGCCUGGAGGACGUGCAGGGCGGCGAGAUGGUGCGGCAGCUACCGCCGUGCAGGCACCUAUUCCACGUGGACUGCAUCGACAUGUGGCUGCACACCCACCGGACGUGCCCGCUCUGCCGCUGCGAGCUCUCGCCGCGGAAGGUCGCCGCGAAAGCCGUUGCCGCGGCCGCCACGGGGUCAUCGGCCCAGGCGUUGCCACCGGUGUGA